UAAUACAGAGGUCCCAAGCGUUGUUCGGAUUCACUGGGCGUAAAGGGUGCGCAGGUGGCCGCGCAAGUUCGAUGUGAAAGCCCCGGGCUUAACCCGGGAAUGGCAUUGAAAACUGCGUGGCUGGAGGAUCGGAGGGGGGACUGGAAUUCUUGGUGUAGCAGUGAAAUGCGUAGAUAUCAAGAGGAACACCAGUGGCGAAGGCGAGUCCCUGGACGAUACCUGACACUGAGGCACGAAAGCCAAGGGAGCAAACA
rnacentral:rRNA from 1 species